GGUGAGAUGGCCGAGUGGUUAUGGCGCUGCGUUCAGGUCACCUGAAUUUUCUGUUGAAUCUCGCAGUGGAGCAAUCCGCGUGGGUUCGAGUCCCACUCUCAUCA